rnacentral:tRNA from 1 species
GGGGUUGUAGCUCAGCUGGGAGAGCGCAUGGCUGGCAGCCAUGAGGUCAGGGGUUCGAACCCCCUCUGCUCCACCA